CCUACGGGACGCAGCAGUGAGGAAUAUUGGUCAAUGGGCGCGAGCCUGAACCAGCCAAGCCGCGUGAGGGAAGACGGUCCUAUGGAUUGUAAACUUCUUUUGUCGGGGAACAAAAGACGCCACGCGUGGCGCUGCGAGAGUACCCGAAGAAAAAGCAUCGGCUAACUCCGUGCCAGCAGCCGCGGUAAUACGGAGGAUGCGAGCGUUAUCCGGAUUUAUUGGGUUUAAAGGGUGCGUAGGCGGUCUGUUAAGUCAGCGGUAAAA
rnacentral:rRNA from 1 species